AUUCAGCUGAUGAGUCCCAAAUAGGACUGAACGCGCGUCAUGGAU
rfam:Schistosoma mansoni strain Puerto Rico chromosome 2, complete genome